rnacentral:misc_RNA from 1 species
AAGUCGUAACAAGGUUUCCGUAGGUGAACCUGCGGAAGGAUCAUUAACACGUAUCCAACGUUAAACCCCCCUGUGAACCUUCAUUGUGCUCCCACGCUUUGUUAGAAAGUGGCAAUCCCUGGUAAAUCAUGGACUUCUGCGAAGAGGGUGAAUGAGGCGAGGCAAUGGACCUGGCAUUCCUCUGCUUGUUGGUGUCUGAAAGUGUCACUAACUCUGUACGAAUGGCGCAGUCACGUUCGCUGGAGGCCGACACGGCCGGCGACCGGGUCCCUGAGCUCUGCUCCCUAAUAACCUUUGCAUGAAAACGGGCCUGCGCUUAAUUGUGCGGCCACCAAACUCGAACAACUGUUAACAAUGGAUAUCUUGGUUCUC